UACGGGGGGGGCAAGCGUUGUUCGGAAUUACUGGGCGUAAAGGGCUCGUAGGCGGCCAACUAAGUCGGACGUGAAAUCCCUCGGCUUAACCGGGGAACUGCGUCCGAUACUGGAUGGCUCGAGUUUGGGAGAGGGAUGCGGAAUUCCAGGUGUAGCGGUGAAAUGCGUUGAUAUCAUCAGGAACGCCGGUGGCGAAAGCGGCGGACUGGACCUUCACUGACGCUGAGGCGCGAAAGCUAGGGGAGCAAACGGG
rnacentral:rRNA from 1 species